rnacentral:rRNA from 1 species
UACGUAGGGGCUAGCGUUAUCCGGAAUUACUGGGCGUAAAGGGUGCGUAGGUGGUUUCUUAAGUCAGAGGUGAAAGGCUACGGCUCAACCGUAGUAAGCCUUUGAAACUGAGAAACUUGAGUGCAGGAGAGGAGAGUGGAAUUCCUAGUGUAGCGGUGAAAUGCGUAGAUAUUAGGAGGAACACCAGUUGCGAAGGCGGCUCUCUGGACUGUAACUGACACUGAGGCACGAAAGCGUGGGGAGCAAACAGGAUUAGAUACCCGGGUAGUCCCUGAGCGGG